rnacentral:rRNA from 1 species
CCUACGAGCGACAGCAGUCGGGAAUAUUGCGCAAUGGAGGAAACUCUGACGCCGUGACGCCGCGUGCAGGAAGAAGGUUUUCGGAUUGUAAACUUCUUUAGACAGGGAAGAAAAACGCCAGUACCUGUAGCAUCCGCUCCGGCUAACUACGUGCCAGCAGCCGCGGUAAUCCGGGGGAUGCAAGCGUUAUCCGGAUGUAUUGGGUUUAAAUGGUGCGUAGGCUGUGAGGUAAGUCAGCGGUGAAAUGCCCCCGCUCAACGGGGGGAAGUGCCAUUGAUACUGCCGUGCUGGAAUGCGGAUGCCGUGGGAGGAAUGGGUGGUGUAGCGGUGAAAUGCAUAGAUAUCACACAGAACACCGAUUGCGAAGGCAUCUCACGAAGCCGCGAUUGACGCUGAUGUACGAAAGCGUGGGUAUCAAACAGGAUUAGAUACCCUAGUAGUC